AUGAAUGGAUGCAGCCAGGAAAUGCAGCCAGGAAAUGCAAUGAAUGGAUGCAGCCAGGAAAUGCAACGAAUGGAUGCAGCCAGGAAAUGCAACGAAUGGAUGCAGCCAGGAAAUGCAGCCAGGAAAUGCAAUGAAUUGAUGCAGGCAGGAAAUGCAAUGAAUGGAUGCAGCCAGGAAAUGCAACGAAUGGAUGCAGACAGGAAAUGCAAUGAAUGGAUGCAGCCAGGAAAUGCAGCCAGGAAAUGCAACCAACGGAUGCAGUUGGGAAAUGCGACAUGGGGGUGCAGUCAGGAAAUGCAACACGUGGAUGCAGCUGCAGCCAGGAAAUGCAAUGAAGGGAUACAGCCAGGAAAUGCAGCCAAGAAAUGCAAUGAAAGGAUGCAACUGCAGUCAGGGAAUGCAAAGAAUGAGUGCAACCAGGAAUUGCAACCAGGAAUUGCAAUGAAUGGGUGCAGUCAGGGAUUGCAAGGAAUGGAUGCAGUCAGGAAAUGCAACAAACUGAUGCAGCCAGGAAACACAGCGAAUGGAUGCAGUCAGGAAAUGCAAAGAAGAGAUGCAGCUGCAGCCAGGAGAUGCAAUGAAGGGAUGCAGCCGGGAAAUGCAGCCAAGAAAUGCAAUGAAGUGAUGCAGCUGCAGCCAGGAAAUGCAAUGAAGGGAAGCAGCCAGGAAAUGCAACCAGGAAUUGCAAGGAAUGGGUGCAGUCAGGAAUUGCAACAAAGGGAUGCAGUCAGUGAAUGCAACAAAGGGAUGCAGCCAGGAAAUGCAAUGAAGGGAUGCAGCCAGGAAAUGCAGCGAAUGGGUGCAGUUGGGAAAUGCGACAAGGGGGUGCAGUCAGGAAAUGCAACGAAGGGAAGCAGCAAGGAAAUGCAGCCGGUAAAUGCAAUGAAGGGAUGCAGCUGCAGCCAGGAAAUGCAGCCAGGAAAUGCAAUGAAGGGAUGCAGCCAUCGAAUGCAACAAACUGAUGCAGCUGCAGUCAGGAAACGCAAUGGAAGACUGCAGCUGCAGCCAGGGAAUUCAACAAAUGGAUGCAGUCAGGAACUGCAACAAACUGACUCAGCCAAGAAAUGCAACAAAUGGAUGCAGUCAGGAAAUGCAAAGAAGGGAUGCAGCUGCAGCCAGGAGAUGCAACGAAGGGUUGCAGGUGCUGCCAGAAAAUGCAAUGAAGGGAUGUAG
rnacentral:lncRNA from 1 species